UUCAGUACGUACAUCAUUAUCAGUAAAACACACAUCAGUUUUGCGUAUAAAUGCCAUCGAAAUUUUCAUGUUCCACAUAGUGUUGCUCGAAUUGUUGCAUCGAACAAUUGAAUUAAAUUAAUCGAAAAGCAGCAAAAUGAAGAUUAUCUUAUUUACGAUUUGCGUCUUGAUGGCCAUUCAUACUUGUGCAAGUCUGUUGCGACCUGCAGCUUAUUAUGACAGCGUGGUAACCUGUUUCAAAAAUAGUACUUUAAACCAAAUUUCAGGUUUCGAUAAGAGUUCUGGCAAUUUGCAAAACAUCUUGAAAAAUGAAUUCAAUAUCUUCGUCGAUGCUUCCAACUGCGCAUUGAAGAAAGAUGGUGUAAUCAGUCAAGAAGAUAAAAUGAUUAGAAGUGACUUAAACGAAUAUUGUUCAAAAGUUUUUCUGAGUUCUUCAAAUAUACUAAGAUGUCAAAAGAUCAUCAAGCAUUGCACUGAUUUAGAAUGUGGUGGUCCAGUUUGUACUUUCGAGGAAAUAAAACGAUACAUAAAGUGUGCAAUAGAUAAUAAAAUAUUGUCGUUUCUCGAAUUUCCAUUAUCAUUAAUUUAAAUACAGAAUGAAGUAUAUAAAAGCAAAUUGUAUGAGUAGCAUUUAUUAGAAAUUGAUCCAGUGAUUGACUAAUACUGAUUCGCACAGUAAAAGCGCUUUAAUUAAAUGAUGUAGUAAAAUACUGAUUCUCGUGGUGGAAAACUUACAAUUAUCUAAUCAGUAGAUAUUUUAAUCGUCAGUUCAAUAUACUGAUUCUACUUGAGAGAGUAGGAAAGUAACUCAUUUGUCAUGUGCUUGUCGUUGACAAACUAGUGCUGUUGAGUACUUGACACUUUACAUUUGUUAUUUUAUUUUUAAAUGUGUAAUGUAAAAAUAUAUAUAUAUAUAUAUAAAAUUGCGUAUACAAUAAAAACCUAUGUGAAAAAAUAGCUAAUACAAUA